GGGAAAUUCAUGUUUGGUGUGUGUAGGCCAAUUUGACCAGUAGGUUGAGCUCCACCAGAAUAAACUGAAGGUGCGGCUACAGCCUGUGGGAAUGUCCCGCUCGGAAAACCACUGCUUACAUGGGUCGCAGGUGACUGGGAUGCCAAAAGUGCAGGAUUUGCAUAGGAUUGCUGACUGCUAGCGGCAUAACCGUUGGCAGAAGAAUCCUGGUUAUUUGCAACGGCGGGAGCAUAGGUGAGACCGCCCAGUGGAUCCCCAAAACCAAAGCUCGGACUGGUUUCCAUUUGGGGGGCUACUGGAUGGAGUGAUCCAGAACCAGAGGAGUGGCCUAAGCUAGACUGGAAAGAAGUGGCAGGAGUGAAAUUCU
rnacentral:misc_RNA from 1 species